UUGAUAGAUAAAUCAAUAGAUGGCAGAGAUCGAUAUGAAUUAUGUAUGAUAGUGGUCGAUUGCAUCUUGAGAUAACGUAGUUUAAGAUUGUAUAAAGCGAAUGUCCGGUCUUAUUUAUGGUUGAUCAUCUGAAUGCAGUAAGACAGUGGCUUUGCUAAAAGAGUGGUUAUGUGUGCUGUGUUCUUCGAAAUGUGAAUUGUUUUACAUCGGCAAGUUUACCCAAAUCUAGUUAUUUGCGUUCGGCUACAAAUAGAUAUGGCUUAGAACUCCUGCGAAGUUAAUUUGUGACUGGAAGUUUUGUCUUCUGUUGCUGAAGAUCGUGAGGUAACUAACCAUUUUGUAGUAGUGUAACAUAGCAGUCAUUUUUAUCGCAUGUAGAUAUUUUUUGCUAUGGAGAUGUGUUGGAGGCAGGUUAUACGAAGUCGGAGAACUGCAGUCAUGUUUAUUUGUGUAUUUAACGGCGCCAAUUUAAAAAUUGAAAUUAUAUACCGUCAACUGUUUUAUAAUUUGUGAUGUCGAAGAAUCUAUCGUAGCCAACAUAACGGAAUUUCACAGCAGAUACAGAAAAAACUACGGUAAACCUAUUUCAGGGUAAUCGGUUGAAUGGACUAAACUACAAGCAUCAGCUGAAUUUGAAUCAAGAACGCAACAUUCGGUGUGGUUUAAUAAGACAUUUUUGUGGCGACAGUCGGCUGAAUACCAGGAAACAGCAAGGGAAGUAGCAAUGUGAUUGAUGCCAAAGUCAUGUUGUGAGACAGUGAUGACACCACCAUUACCCAUUAUCGUCUGUACAUGCAUGAUGAUGUCAUGGCUCCUGAAGACAUCAUCAGCGUUCAAGCAGCCAUCUUUUGCUUCUCUUGAUUCUGACAUAAGGCAAGCUGAGUGGGCGGAGAAACAGCUCUCUGGACCAUGACGGACUGUUUAUCUAUUCGAGUCUCCCCUGCCUCAUAUGCUGGUUCAACUUCCAGUGGCUUAUGUAAACGGCUGUGACUCUUCAGAAGUGAACACAACUGGAGGAAAGAGAAAAAUUAGAAUUGGAAUCAGCUAUGAGAGGUAAAUGUUAAGCACCUACCUGCCAGACAGAGAGGCCCCUUGUGAUGUUUGUGAAACCUUCUUAGGAAGCUCCUUGUCUGCUACACCUGUAUGCUGUCCAGCAGCGCGGUUCAGGUCUGUCCUGCCACCAACUGUCACCAUAGGCAGUUUUGGGAAAGACGUCAUUGCAGGCAAGCAAUACUUCUGUAAACAGCGAUUAUUUUCUUAACAUUAACUGUAUCCAUUUUAGGAGUACCUACUGAAAUCACUCUGUCCAUCUAUGCACAUGUAACACUUUGAGGACAGAUUCGAUACUGGGGAGAUUUAGUAACGUUUGACCCAUUCAAGUUUUGCUUAAGACUGGACAAUAACAGACACUUUACAUGAAGGCUACAAGUGUUUUUCCCAUGCUGGUAAGUUCACUGCCAUUUGCAAAGAUCAAAGGCCAACUACUGGAAGAGUUGUUUUUUAUUGCAUCAGAAUAUGCAAAGAAAUACAAAUAUAGAUGAAUGUCUAUCUCACCAAGAAGCCAUUGUUAUCAGUGUUACAUAGUUUUCUUUCGUUUUUGGGAGGCAAACAUAUACUGAGAGAUUGUGAAGUAAAACAAAAUUUACCACAGUAUUUUAUUCAGUUUUGUUACAUAUUAUAUGGCACAGUCAUAGGCAUGAAAAAAUAUACGGCUGGAGACUAAAAUGGAUAAGAAAAUGUCUUGUUUCAUGAAAGUAGUGGUAAAUACAUUUUAAUUUCUUGAAAACAUUUGUAUCUACCUGUGGAUCCCUGAGAAAGAGUGCAUGUUCAAUAAUGUAAGUUAUGUCCACAGCUCCGGGGUAUCGCAUGAGGUAUGUCAUACAGGUUGUAUAGUCCCCAUUCAGCACUGAAAAACAAAUAUGCAGCGCACAUAAUGCAUGACAAAUGGAGGGAUAUAAUUGUAUUUUAAUAAGUAACAAGUAUUUUCUGAUACCAGCUAAAGAAAAUCUAGAAAUAUGUUGUUGCAAACAUAAGUAUUAACCCUCUGAAGCCAAAGCUCAUCUAAAUAAAAAAAAGAUCGAUCAUUUGCUUCUUCAACAUAGAUCAGUCACACAGAACCUAAGAAAUUAUUUAUUUCAAGUUCUAUUUAUUAUAAUCAAAUAGUAGCAGAACUAACACUGAUACUUGAUGGCUAUGAGCAUUGCCACUACUAUAUAGUUGACCAACUCAAAGUUUUCUCCUUCUGCAAAUAUGGCAUCCCACAGUACCAGCAGGUCUUGUAAUGGAAAUUCUCUUCCAAACAAAAGACGCAGCCAACGUCUGUAAAAAAAAACAGAUAUUUACAUCACGAUGACGGAAUGAUAUUUGACCUCUUACAGAUGCUAAUUAACCUUUAUUUUAUGUAAAUAGGAGAUGUAAACCACCAAACUAAGGUUCUGCCAGCCACACUUCAGCUACAUGGUUUAAUGGUUUACAGAUAUAUUACUGUGACAUAAGACCAUACAAUCAGCUGGAUCAUGUGCAUGCAAUGGCACAUGACUGACAGUAUUUCUAUGUCUACAAUUUAAUAUCUCAGCAUAUAGGUAUACAGCCUGUGAAGGUUAAUACUAAGAUUAAUCACUUGAUAUCAUUAAAACUUAAUGCUAAAUAAGGAAAACAGCUUGAAUGAAGGCACAUUAAAUACAGUUGCACCUUAAAAUAAAUAUAUUAAUUAGCACUCAAAAAUUACUAUGUUCCUACAUUCACAUGUACUCACAUUCCAAACAGAGGAAGAGGAAUGUCUAAUUGCUGCAAAUGUUCGUACAACUGUGGGUCAGCGGGGGCCAAAAGAUUAUCCCUAAUCCAGUUCAGCUGUGCAACCACCUCAUUCUCUGACUGAUUCUGAGAACCCUAGAAAACACAUGAAGUUUAAGAAUUAGCAUUGAAGCAGUAACAAGACCAACCAAGAUGAAGAGAUAGCAGGAGAGGAUGUGCAGUUGACAUAACAGAAGAAAUUAAUGCUGCAGCUGGGAAGUUGUUUGCCAUCAUCAUACAGAGUCAUCAUGCUACCACAAUCCACAUAGACUUACUUCAGCUUUCUGGGACAGAGGGUUGUCUUCAGGUUGACUCCUGUGCCAUGGAUCAAGAGACAGUUCUUUGAGAACUUCUGCAUAAUGGUGACGUUGCUGUCGAAGCUGGCUAAGCCACUGAGUUGUGUCAGGUGAGAAAACUCCAAGAAGACAACGCCAACACACACUGCGAAAGCGAGAGGCUCUGAGAUUUCCCAGAACAGCACGACGACGAAGUUCACCAAGAUCUGGAUCAUCUCUCCUGUACAGCUGAGCCCAUUCUUCUCUGAAAUACGAUAUUCAAAAAUAGUUUGAAGUCACUAUCAAUCCAGAUGCACAGUACUACUCUUCUCUAAUAUAACAGUAUCCUGCAUCACAGGUUAUAAUUGAUAACCAUCUAGCAUAACACUAACUUGUCAACAUUAUUUCUUACAAAAGAACAUUAAUAAGAUCAAUGUGCAAAUUGUCUGUAAAAAUUAUAGCAAUUUGCAAACAUUUAUGGUAUAAAACAUAAGUAUUAACUUGUAAUGAAAUUACAAAGAUAUUUAAACUUUCAAAAGUUCCAGUACCAAAAUGAAGCUUAAUUUUUACAACUAGAAUUUGCUGAGCAAAUUCUGGUCACAGAAUUCAGGGACCUUUUAAAAUAUAUAUAGAGAGAAGGGAAAGUAUUGUUUCUUUCAUUUAAUAGUACUUAUGAAUAGAAAGUUGGGUAGAAGCAAGAGCAUUCUGUAAAUUAUUUCCUCACAUUUAUCAGUCUGUAUUUAGAGCAGAAUAUUUAGUCUCAGUUGGCUGUACUCGGAGCUUCCAAUAUCUGGAGCAGGUAUGCUGUUAACCACAUGUUUACUACAAAAAAUUGAAAUUUUAAUUAUCAUGUGCUUACUUUGUCACAUCUGCUAUGUUAACUGUAGGCAAAGUUCAAAAUAAGUCUGUAGUUAAAAAGCAUAUAGAUGUAUGUUGCUUCAGUGUAUAACAUAUAAACAUGAAUUCUUUCAUUCUCUUGUACUCAAGACAGCAGCCAAAAUCUUUAUCAGUUUUAUUGUCAAUAGUCAACAAAGUUAUCAGUCAACAGACAAAUAUGAUAUAGAUUGUAGAAUUCAUUGGAAAUAGAAACUGAACAUAAUCUUAUGUAAAUAUGGUGAUGUAAUGAUUAUGAGCUUAUUAACUGGUAUCACUGAAUAUUUUUUACACCUUGUAUGUUCCUAAAGUGAUGGCUAUGUUAGAAAAUUUCCAUCUGGAAGACUUGAAUUAAAUUUCAAAUGUCAUAAAACACAAGAACAUUUUAAUAGCAUUUAUAAAAAAUUAAAAAAAACUGAGACACUAACCAUCUUGAAAGGUUUCAUCAGAUCAUAGAGGCACUCUAAAUAAUUUUCUCUAAUACCAUUUGACUACUACAGGGGUAUCCAUAUAUUUGAAUCUACUAAGAUCAUUUUCAUAUUAAAAGUUAUCUAGUGAAAGUUACAAAAAACAAUGACAGCAACCUAAUAUAAUGGUAUUUUUGCCAUAAAAAUUAAAACCUGUUAAUAAAAUAUGUACACAGGAAUAUGUUGCAUUUUGUUAAGGAACUAUGCUUCAUGCACCUUUUAAGUGUAUACAAAAAAGAAUGAAUUGAAAUGGCAUAUUUAAUACAAUUUAUAUAAAAUGUACUCAGGUGAACCAACAGGUAUACACAGAUAAACACAGGUAUGAAUCAUGAAUGUUUUUCACACAGACUGAUAAUUGUGAUAAAAAUAAAAUGAGCUGGACAGCCAGGGUCACUGUCCAAUAGAAGA